AGGGUACUGCGGAAGGAUCAUUACUGAGUGAGGGCCCUCUGGGUCCAACCUCCCACCCGUGUUUAUUGUACCUUGUUGCUUCGGCAGGCCCGCCUCACGGCCGCCGGGGGGCUUCUCGCCCCCGGGCCCGCGCCUGCCGGAGACACCUUUGAACGCUGUCUGAAGUUUGCAGUCUGAGCGAUUAGCUAAAUUAGUUAAAACUUUCAACAACGGAUCUCUUGGUUCCGGCAUCGAUGAAGAACGCAGCGAAAUGCGAUAAUUAAUGUGAAUUGCAGAAUUCAGUGAAUCAUCGAGUCUUUGAACGCACAUUGCGCCCCCUGGUAUUCCGGGGGGCAUGCCUGUCCGAGCGUCAUUGCUGCCCUCAAGCCCGGCUUGUGUGUUGGGCCUCGUCCCCCUUCCGGGGGACGGGCCCGAAAGGCAGCGGCGGCACCGUGUCCGGUCCUCGAGCGUAUGGGGCUUUGUCACCCGCUCUGUAGGCCCGGCCGGCGCCUUAGCCGACGACA
rnacentral:rRNA from 1 species